CCACAACAUUCCAACCACCACAACAUUCCAACCACCACAACAUUCCAACCACCACAACAUUCCAAUCACCACAACACAGUUUUACAGAAGAAAAUACGCGCUCCAAUAUUAAACGUCACAACAGCACAACCAAUUCACGAACAUAACACUGUUGCACAUACGACAUAACUACAACAUAACAUAGCAACAAAAACACCACAACCAGAACACCACAACGCAACCACAACAAUAUAUAUAUAUAUACAAUGUAGCCACUACAACACGGUCAAAAAUAACACUACAACACAUGCAACAGGCACAACGGAACACUACCGUGUGGCUAUCGCUGCCGCCACCACCGCAACAGCACAACAACAAUAACACGAACGAACCAAGAAGCGUGCCCCUAAGGUAGUCGCUAAAACUAGCCAAAUUCCCUUCAAAUUGCACAGUCUUACGUCAUGAAAUUCAGACAGGAUGGUUACGGCUGGAACGACGUUGAUGAUAAGUCUUCUCACUUAAAACUGACGUCGGGCUAAGCAACAAAUACAAACAAAACUAAACGGAUGAAAACAAAAACAAAACAACAGCAAUUCUAAAAGAUAUGUCAGCUAAAUAGAAACAUCGUUAAAAGACUUAUAUCUUCGACGUAUUCCGCAAUUCUGUUUUAUCUUUUUUUUUAAAUGUGCCCUGUUGGUACAGUUCUGGCAGUAGUAUGAAGUGGUGGUGUGUAGCUGCUGAUUGUAGUGGUUCUGGUGCUGUCAAGUGCGGCGGCGAGCUCGGUGGAAGAUGACGACGUUCUAUAACGGCUCCAGCUUCGGAAAACGGUCACUGAGACGCAGUGACUGUCAGCAUCUACCAUGAAUACCUGUCAGCAUCCUCCAUCACAUACACAGAGGGGCUCCAGCGUUGAUACCUGUCCCGUCCUUAAUUCUGUGGGCUCAGGAUUUACUCUACCUCUUCUUCCCCCCGACUUCCUUCAGCCGUUCUCUGAGAAAUGAUUCUGGACUGUAAGUCCGUGCAGUUUACGUGUCUGUGCAAGGAGUUAAUAACAUAAUGAGCAAUAAAAAGUGAUUGACGGCACAAG
rnacentral:lncRNA from 1 species